rnacentral:piRNA from 1 species
GGCUCACUUGAAAGUAUGUCUUUCUACC